rnacentral:rRNA from 1 species
GCGUAAAGCGCGCGCAGGCGGUUUCUUANGUCUGANGUGAAAGCCCCCGGCUCAACCGGGGAGGGUCAUUGGAAACUGGGGAACUUGAGUGCAGAAGAGGAGAGUGGAAUUCCACGUGUAGCGGUGAAAUGCGUAGAGAUGUGGAGGAACACCAGUGGCGAAGGCGACUCUCUGGUCUGUAACUGACGCUGAGGCGCGAAAGCGUGGGGAGCGAACAGGAUUAGAUACCCUGGUAGUCCACGCCGUAAACGAUGAGUGCUAAGUGUUAGAGGGUUUCCGCCCUUUAGUGCUGCAGCAAACGCAUUAAGCACUCCGCCUGGGGAGUACGGUCGCAAGACUGAAACUCAAAGGAAUUGACGGGGGCCCGCACAAGCGGUGGAGCAUGUGGUUUAAUUCGAAGCAACGCGAAGAACCUUACCAGGUCUUGACAUCCUCUGACAACCCUAGAGAUAGGGCUUCCCCUUCGGGGGCAGAGUGACAGGUGGUGCAUGGUUGUCGUCAGCUCGUGUCGUGAGAUGUUGGGUUAAGUCCCGCAACGAGCGCAACCCUUGAUCUUAGUUGCCAGCAUUCAGUUGGGCACUCUAAGGUGACUGCCGGUGACAAACCGGAGGAAGGUGGGGAUGACGUCAAAUCAUCAUGCCCCUUAUGACCUGGGCUA